GGCGUAUGGGUGAUGAUUUGAGGCCGUUCGUUAUGCCUACGCACGUAACUCUUAAUCAGCGGGUCCAAGGUUCGAGUCCUUGUGCGCCCACCA
rnacentral:tRNA from 1 species